UACGUAGGAGGCAAGCGUUGUCCGGAAUUACUGGGCGUAAAGCGCGUGUAGGUGGUGGGACAAGUCUGCUGUGAAAGCGCCUGGCUUAACCGGGCGAGGUCGGCGGAAACUGCCUCACUUGAGGACGGUAGAGGGGGGUGGAAUUCCCGGUGUAGUGGUGAAAUGCGUAGAGAUCGGGAGGAACACCUGUGGCGAAGGCGGCCCCCUGGGCCGGCCCUGACACUGAGACGCGAAGGCGUGGGGAGCGAACGGG
rnacentral:rRNA from 1 species